rnacentral:rRNA from 1 species
ACUUACGGCCAUACCAUCCUGAAUACGCCUGAUCUCGUCUGAUCUCGGAAGCUCAGCAGGGUCGGGCCUGGUUAGUACUUGGAUGGGAGACCAACUGGGAAUACCAGGUGCUGUAAGUC